CUCGUAGCUCAGCUGGAUAGAGCAUCGGAUUUCGAUUCCGAGGGUCGGGCGUUCGAAUCGCUCCGAG
rnacentral:tRNA from 1 species